CGUUAUGGCAGUUGUGCGCGGGAGGCUUCAGGGCCUGCCGGGGUUACUCACGACCUGGUUUUCCACCCCGCGUACAACUGCCACCCUU
rnacentral:antisense_RNA from 1 species